CCCUUUGAUUUGAUCAAGACCUCCUUCUGCCUCGGGGGCGACCCGGACCUCGCGGUCCGCCGGUCCCCCCGGUGGUCACCAACCAAAACUCUGCAUCAAUUGUCGUCUGACCGUAUUGAAAAAUUCAAUCAAAACUUUCAACAACGGAUCUCUUGGUUCUGGCAUCGAUGAAGAACGCAGCGAAAUGCGAUAAGUAAUGUGGAUUGCAGAAUCCAGUGAAUCAUCGAAUCUUUGAACGCACAUUGCGCCCCUCGGUAUUCCGGGGGGCAUGCCUGUUCGAGCGUCAUUACACCACUCAAGCCUCGCUUGGUCUUGGGCGUCGCGGUCCGCCGCGCGCCCCAAUGUCUCCGGCUGAGCCGCCCGUCUCUAAGCGUUGUGAUAAACGAUCCGCUUGCGAGGCCGGGCUGGCUUGAUCGCCGUUAAACCCCCCAUUUUUACAGGUUGACCUCGGAUCAGGUAGG
rnacentral:rRNA from 1 species